UACGGGGGGGGCAAGCGUUGUUCGGAAUUACUGGGCGUAAAGGGCUCGUAGGUGGCCAACUAAGUCAGACGUGAAAUCCCUCAGCUUAACUGGGGAACUGCGUGUGAUACUGGAUGGCUUGGAUUUGGGAGAGGGAUGCGGAAUUCCAGGUGUAGCGGUGAAAUGCGUAGAUAUCUGGAGGAACACCGGUGGCGAAGGCGGCAUCCUGGACCAAUAUUGACGCUGAGGAGCGAAAGCCAGGGGAGCAAACGGG
rnacentral:rRNA from 1 species